rnacentral:rRNA from 1 species
CAUGCAAGUCGAGCGGAGACAGUGAGUAGCUUGCUAUGAGCUGUUUUAGCGGCGGACGGGUGAGUAACGCGUGAGCAACCUUUCCCAGACAGGGGAAUAACACACCGAAAGGUGUACUAAUACCGCAUAAGACCACGGGAUCACAUGGUUCUGAGGUAAAAGAUUUAUCGGUUUGGGGUGGGCUCGCGUCCGAUUAGGUAGUUGGUGAGGUAACGGCCCACCAAGCCGACGAUCGGUAGCCGACCUGAGAGGGUGAUCGGCCACAUUGGGACUGAGACACGGCCCAAACUCCUACGGGAGGCGGCAGUGGGGAAUAUUGGGCAAUGGAGGAAACUCUGACCCAGCAACGCCGCGUGGAGGAAGAAGGUUUUCGGAUCGUAAACUCCUGUCCUUGGAGACGAGUAGAAGACGGUAUCCAAGGAGGAAGCCCCGGCUAACUACGUGCCAGCAGCCGCGGUAAUACGUAGGGGGCAAGCGUUGUCCGGAAUAAUUGGGCGUAAAGGGCGCGUAGGCGGCUCGGUAAGUCUGGAGUGAAAGUCCUGCUUUUAAGGUGGGAAUUGCUUUGGAUACUGUCGGGCUUGAGUGCAGGAGAGGUUAGUGGAAUUCCCAGUGUAGCGGUGAAAUGCGUAGAGAUUGGGAGGAACACCAGUGGCGAAGGCGACUAACUGGACUGUAACUGACGCUGAGGCGCGAAAGUGUGGGGAGCAAACAGGAUUAGAUACCCUGGUAGUCCACACUGUAAACGA